rnacentral:rRNA from 1 species
UACAUGGGGUGCAAACGUUGCUCGGAAUUAUUGGGCGUAAAGGGCGCGUAGGCGGACAGUUUAGUCAGAGGUGAAAGCCCAGGGCUCAACCUUGGAAUUGCCUUUGAUACUGGCUGUCUUGAGUUCGGGAGAGGUGAGUGGAAUGCCGAGUGUAGAGGUGAAAUUCGUAGAUAUUCGGCGGAACACCAGUGGCGAAGGCGACUCACUGGCCCGAUACUGACGCUGAGGCGCGAAAGCGUGGGGAGCAAACAGG